rnacentral:rRNA from 1 species
CGCAUCUGUGCAUGCAGCAUAUCAAUAAGCGGAGGAAAAGAAACUAACAAGGAUUCCCCUAGUAACGGCGAGUGAAGCGGGAAGAGCUCAAAUUUGAAAUCUUAAAGGGUUUCCCUUUACGAAUUGUAGUUUAAAGAAGUGUUUUCUGUUGAGGUUUUGGUAAAAGUUCUUCGGAAUAGGACAUCAUAGAGGGUGAGAAUCCCGUAUUUGACCUUUACUUUCAACUUUGUGAUACACUUUCAAAGAGUCGGAUUGUUUGGGAAUGCAGUCCAAAAUGGGUGGUAAAUUUCAUCUAAAGCUAAAUAUUGGCGAGAGACCGAUAGCGAACAAGUACCGUGAGGGAAAGAUGAAAAGAACUUUGAAAAGAGAGUUAAACAGUACGUGAAAUUGUCAAAAGGGAAGCGUUUGACACCAGUGCUGUUUUUCUGAAAAUCAAUUAAAGAACUGUUUAUGCUAAGCUGUUUAGACUUUAUCAGCUAACUGUUUAGUUUUGAGCUUUUCUUUAAUGCACUUUUCAGUUAACAAGUCAACAUCAAUUUCUUUUGCUGUAAAAAAGCUUGAGGAAGGUGGCUUGAGAUUCGUCUUAAGUGUUUAUAGCCUCUUGCCUAUGCAGUCGGAGAGAUUGAGGUCUGCAGCGUAGAUCCUUCGGGGCUAAAUGCAUUUGUGCUAAGUUAUAGCAUUUUAUAGACAACUUGUUGACUAUGAUUUGUCUUGUAGCUUACUCGCUUAUGUUAUUUUACCUACGCUUAGGAUGUUGACAGCAGUAUAGACUGU